rnacentral:tRNA from 1 species
GGCCCCAUCGUCUAGUUCGGUUUAGGACACAUGGUUCUCAGCCAUGAGACACGAGUUCAAAUCUCGUUGGGGCUA